AUGAUCCACCUUUUCUUUCACUCGCCUCUCCUCCAGCAAAUCUAUAAUGCAUUUAAUCUUCAGCAGUCACUCUCCUCAGUUUUUAAAUGUCUAAUUUGCUGCCGAGUGCAGCUCCAAUUCUCUCUGUGCCGCCGUUUUAACUCUCUGCCUUGUGUUUGCCCAAUUGCUUGUCUGCUUGGAUGGAGAGACCCGACUGCACCUGAUCCUUCGGAGAGAGGGAGGGGGAGAGAAGCUUACCGGAGGGCAGAGACUUCGCAGCGUCGUUGUCCAGGCAAACACCUUGGUGCUUUGGGAGACUACCUGCUUUGCUCACACCACAGCCAGCAGGCUGCUGUCAAGCAAGGCUUUCCCCUGUGCCAAGAGCAGGCUCCCCAGCCCUCGGCUGGCUGGAGCAGGCGUGCGGUGCCUGGGCCAUGCUGCCAGCACUGGCACGAAGCCUCCUUCAGCCCACAGCAAGGCAGGAGGUGGGGAUGGUUUCACCAAACCUCGUGGGUUUGUUCCCAAGCGCCCAGACUCGCUCUGACCCUUCCAAGGCUGCUCAGGCAGAACCUGUCCCCAGGAGCCCCCACCCCAGCCCUGGCAGCCCCUGACUGCUCUUCCUCUGUGCCCCACCAUCAUCCCCACUCAACCCGAGCAACCCAGUGUCACUGCUGUAACUGGCAGCCCCCAGCAUACUGGGGAUGCUGGGCACUGCCCUCCCACCCCACCUGUGCUCCCAGCUGCGGCCACUUCUCUGCCCCAUCUGAGAGCACUCAGCACCAGCCUGCGUGCCUGCUGCCAGCUGUGGGUGUUAAUGCCCUCUGCAGGGGCUGGUGGUGUGGCUGUUUGGGACUGCUCUGCAGGUAUCCACCAGACAAACAAUUUUGCGGGUGGAUCGUGUAUAUUUUACAAACUGUGCCAGCUGUUUGCUAUCUGCCUGUGAUCACUCGUAUUGUCCUGUUGUUAUUCCCUGGCUGGAAGAUGAAACCACUGUCAAGAGAAUGGAAAUCAGCAAAAAAAUGCAUCCCCAUAGAUUUAGCAAAUACUUUUAUGAGUUUCCAAGGCUCAUCUGACUAUUUGCUGGUAACAUAUGGCAACCGAUCAGGAUAUAGAAGUUGAGUUUAGAUAUGAUGAUCUAAAUAGUAUAGAAAUCUGAACACAGCAAAGCAGGAUGCUUGCUAUUAAGUCAAAAAAAAAAAAAAAAAGCGAGUAUCUAUUAUCACAUUAACUCUGCAGGCUCUAAAAUCAUUUGGAGGACCGUAUUUUCUAACCUAAAAGCUGGUUAUGAAAUGCUCCAUCUUUUCUGAAAAUACGUUGCUAUUGCCAGCUCUGAAUUCGGCAUUGAAAUGGGCAUGUUUAUUAUGUCAAGCUGCUGGAGUAAAUCUGCUGUAUUUAAAAGGUGGCAUUCGUCAGGCAUGAUGGGGAACACCUACAGCAGGAAGCAUUCCCUUCUGCAUGGUCAAGGGAGAGCGACCAGUGUCCUCCGAGAACUGUUAACGCACGUAACCUUUGUGGCUGAGGUGUCAACUGUAUUAAAGCACUUAGUUUUUAUAAAACACAAAAAUGGAAGCAUUGGUAUUAAUUUUUAUUAUAG
rnacentral:lncRNA from 1 species